AGUCAAAUGCUUGUCUCAAAGAUUAAGCCAUGCAUGUCAAAGUACGAUUCACGAUUGUACGGAAGAAACUGCGAACGGCUCAUUAAACGUAUUGAAAUCUACCUGGCUUUCAUUAUCAGAUGGAUAACUCUGGUAAAUCUAGUGCUAAUACAUGCGUUAAGGGGGGCUUCACGGCCUCCUGCUGUUAUUAGUUACAAAAUCAUCUGCUCUCGGGCAUUCUGGUGAUUCACAAUAACUCAGCGGACCGCAUGCCUUCGGGCGGCGGCAUGCCAGUCGAUCUUUACACCGAUCACCUUUCGUUGGUAGUGUAGUGGACUACCAAGGGAGUAACCGGUAACGGAGGAUUAGGGUUUGACUCCGGAGAAUGAGCCUUAGAAACGGCUCAUACAUCCAAGGAAGGCAGCAGGCGCGCAAAUUACCCAAUCAUCAUUGAUGGAGGUAGUGACAAGAAAUAUCAAGGCAGGGCUUUAUGUCUUGCCAUUGAAAUGAGUACAUUCCAAAACACUUAACGAGAACCAAGGGGAGGGCAAGUCUGGUGCCAGCAGCCGCGGUAAUUCCAGCUCCCCUAGCGUUUACUUACAUUGUUGCCGUUAAAAAGCUCGUAGUCGGCUUUCGGGGUGCGCAGGUUGAUCCGGGGGUUCGCCCCSUGUGUGUUGGCUUGCUGUGUCCCAUUGCGUCGGGGCUUGUGGGGUCUUUCGGGGCUUCGCUCGCAUUCCGCGCCUUUUACCUUGAGGAAAUUGGAGGGUUUCAACCAGGCUCCAAAGCACUCGAACACUUCAGCAUGGAAUAACAUUCAGGACUUAUCGUCCGGUUUUGUUGGUUUCUCUGACGAUAGUAAUGACCAAUAGGGGCAGUUGGGGCCAUUUGUACCCGGUGGCGAGAGGUGAAAUUCUUAGACCCAUCGGAGACAAACUGAUGCGAAAGCGUUUGGCAAGGAUGCUCUCAUUGAUCAAGAACGAAAGCCUGGGGAUAGAAGGCGAUUAGACACCACCGUAUUCCAGGCCAUAAACUAUGCCAACUAGGGAUUGGGCGAUGUACCCUUUUCCGUCUCUCUCAGAACCUCGCGAGAAAUCAUUAAGUCUUCGGGUUCGGGGGGGAGUAUGGUCGCAAGGCUGAAACUUAAAGGAAUUGACGGAAAGGGCACACCAGGCGUGGAGCUUGCGGCUUAAUUUGACUCAACACGGGAAACCUCACCAGGUCCAGACACAAUAAGGAUUGACAGAUUGAUAGCUCUUUCUUGAUUUUUGUGGUUGGUGGUGCAUGGCCGUUCUUAGUUCGUGGAGUGAUCUGUCUGCUUGAUUGCGAUAACGAACGAGACCUCCGCCGCUAAAUAGUGACGUGAAUGCUUGCAUUUGCGCGCACUUCUUAUCGGGACAGCCCCCGCAAGGGGGAGGAAGUUGGAGGCAAUAACAGGUCUGUGAUGCCCUUAGAUGUUCUGGGCCGCACGCGUGCUACAAUGGCUGAUGCAACAAGUUUGUCCUAGGCAGUACUGUCCGGGUAAUCUUAAAAAUUCAGCCGUAUUGGGGAUCGGACACUUGCAACUGUGGUCCGUGAACUUGGAAUGCCUAGUAAGUACGGGUCAUCAACCCGUGCUGAUUACGUCCCUGCCCUUUGUACACACCGCCCGUCGCUCCUACCGAUUGGAUGGUCCGGCAAGUUCUUUGGAGUGUCUGCAGUGAAGCUUCGGUGGAUCUGCGGGUGCAAAAUUGCGCGAGCCAUAUCAUCUAGAGGAAGGAGAAGUCGUAACAAGGUAUCC
rnacentral:rRNA from 1 species